rnacentral:rRNA from 1 species
GACGAACGCUGGCGGCGUGCUUAACACAUGCAAGUCGAACGAUGAAGCCGGAGCUUGCUCUGGUGAAUUAGUGGCGAACGGGUGAGUAACACGUGUGUAACCUGCCCUUGACUCUGGGAUAACUGCUAGAAAUGGUAGCUAAUACCGGAUACGACCCUCGGAGGCAUCUCCAGGGGGUGGAAAGAAUUUCGGUCAAGGAUGGACUCGCGGCCUAUCAGCUAGUUGGUGAGGUAACGGCUCACCAAGGCGACGACGGGUAGCCGGCCUGAGAGGGUGACCGGCCACACUGGGACUGAGACACGGCCCAGACGCCUCCGGGAGGCAGCAGUGGGGAAUAUUGCACAAUGGGCGCAAGCCUGAUGCAGCAACGCCGCGUGAGGGAUGACAGCCUUCGGGUUGUAAACCUCUUUUAGUAGGGAAGAAGCGAAAGUGACGGUACCUGCAGAAAAAGCACCGGCUAACUACGUGCCAGCCGCCGCAGUAA